CCAAUAGCGUAUAUUAAAGUUGUUGCAGUUAAAAAGCUCGUAGUUGAAUUUCGGGAUCAAUAUAUCGGUCGUGCCAUUGGUACGUACUGGUAUCACUGGUUUCUCCUUUCUGACGAACCAUGAUGUCAUUAAUUUGGUGUUAUGGGAAGUUAGGACUGUUACUUUGAAAAAAUUAGGGUGUUUAAAGCAGGCUUUAGCUUGAAUACAUUAGCAUGGAAUAAUGAAAUAGGACGUUCGAACCUAUUUUGUUGGUUUCUAGGAUCAACGUAAUGAUUAAUAGGGAUAGUUGGGGGCAUUAGUAUUCAAUUGUCAGAGGUGAAAUUCUUGGAUUUAUUGAAGACUAACUACUGCGAAAGCAUUUGCCAAGGAUGUUUUCAUUAAUCAAGAACGAAAGUUAGGGGAUCGAAGACGAUCAGAUACCGUCGUAGUCUUAACCAUAAACUAUGCCGACUAGGGAUCGGAUGAUGUUAAUUUUUUAAUGACUCAUUCGGCGCCUUACG
rnacentral:rRNA from 1 species